UACGGAGGGUGCGAGCGUUGUCCGGAAUCACUGGGCGUAAAGGGCGCGUAGGUGGCCCCUUAAGUGUGUGGUGAAAGCCCGGGGCUCAACCCCGGGUCGGCCAUGCAAACUGGGGGGCUUGAGCAUUGUAGAGGCAGGCGGAAUUCCGGGUGUAGCGGUGGAAUGCGUAGAGAUCCGGAAGAACACCGGUGGCGAAGGCGGCCUGCUGGGCAGUUUUGCUGACACUGAGGCGCGACAGCGUGGGGAGCAAACAGG
rnacentral:rRNA from 1 species